GACGAACGCUGGCGGCGUGCUUAACACAUGCAAGUCGUACGGCAAGGCCCUUUCGGGGGUACACGAGUGGCGAACGGGUGAGUAACACGUGAGUAACCUGCCCACAACUUUGGGAUAACGCUAGGAAACUGGUGCUAAUACUGGAUAUGUGCUCCUGCUGCAUGGUGGGGGUUGGAAAGCUCCGGCGGUUGUGGAUGGACUCGCGGCCUAUCAGCUUGUUGGUGGGGUAGUGGCCUACCAAGGCGGCGACGGGUAGCCGGCCUGAGAGGGUGACCGGCCACAUUGGGACUGAGAUACGGCCCAGACUCCUACGGGAGGGAGAAGUGGGGAAUAUUGCACAAUGGGCGCAAGCCUGAUGCAGCAACGCCGCGUGCGGGAUGACGGCCUUCGGGUUGUAAACCGCUUUCAGCAGGGACGAAGCUUUUUGUGACGGUACCUGCAGAAGAAGCACCGGCUAACUACGUG
rnacentral:rRNA from 1 species